AAAUCAGUUGAGUAGCCUUGAUCUUGAUAGUAUGACGUAAUGACUUGCAGGAGCGUAUACAUGCUUCCUCUGAGCUAGCUUAAAGUGGGGUUGUCAUUUUAGCAGGGACCUCAGGAAAACUGGAACAGUGAAGAAACGGUGUGUGGUUACAGACUUUUGUGUGAGGUUUUGAAAGUUAG